CCUACGGGGGGCUGCAGUGGGGAAUAUUGGACAAUGGGCGCAAGCCUGAUCCAGCAAUGCCGCGUGUGUGAAGAAGGCCUGCGGGUUGUAAAGCACUUUAAGCAGGAAAGAAGGGGUGAAAGUUAAUACCUUUCAUCAUUGACGUUACCUGCAGAAUAAGCACCGGCUAACUCCGUGCCAGCAGCCGCGGUCAUACGGAGGGUGCGAGCGUGACUCGGAAUUACUGGGCGUAAUGCGAUCGGAGGCGGGUGAAAGCCCUGGGCUUAACCUGGGAACUGCGGUGGAUACUGUCGGGCUAGAGUGUGGUAGAGGUGAGUGGAAUUUCCGGUGUAGCAGUGAAAUGCGUAGAGAGCGGAAGGAACACCAGUGGCGAAGGCGGCUCCCUGGACUAACACUGACGCUGAGGUGCGAAAGCGUGGGGAGCAAACAGGAUUAGAUACCCCGGUAGUC
rnacentral:rRNA from 1 species